rnacentral:snRNA from 14 species
AGCUUUGCGCAGUGGCAGUAUCGUAACCAAUGGGGUUUAUCCAAGGCACUAUUAUUGUUCAUUGAAAAUUUUAUAAAGCUUUGACAGAAGCAAAAGUUAUUUUGUAAAGUUCAAUUUCAUUUUAAACAUCAAUAAUCAU